AUUUAUACUUAUAUUGAAGUAGUACGGUAUUUGCUGGGGCAAUCUCAUAAUUUUGACUUAGCAUGUAUUUUUUUUCUUUUUGUGCUAGAAAUAGGACUUCUAUAGUCUGAGAUUGUUAGGGAAAGAAUACUAAGGCAGGUCACAGAAUCUGAUUGGUCACAGAUUUUGGUGCAACUUAGAACAUAAUAUGUAUUUUCAUAUUGAUACUGGGUUUUGUGGGGGGUGUUUCUAUUCCUGUGCAAAAGACGUAUUCAUGAGAGAUUUUUGAAGUAGGUAGGUUUUGCUGUUGAUAACACAGUCAGGCAUAUAACAUGGUGCAGACUGUCCAAGACAGCUACCCAGGAGUUUUCUGUGUUGAAUAAAUGACAAUAUUUUGGUGAAUGUAUUGUUCAGAUCACAAGCAAAGACCUCCUGGGGACCUUCAAUGCAUCCCUUGACAAAUUUGUGCCUGGCCUGCUGAAACUGUACUGGUCUAAGAAGGGAGCUCUUGGUGAGGAGAUGGAAGACCUCCUGGAUAAACUUGAUGAACAGACAUCCAACACUGUGUCCAACGGGCACUGAGAGGCCUGCCCAUUUUCCUCAAGAGAAGAU